rnacentral:rRNA from 1 species
GUGUCCUACGGGGGGCAGCAGUGGGGAAUAUUGCGCAAUGGGGGCAACCCUGACGCAGCAACGCCGCGUGCGGGAUGAAGGCUUUCGGGUUGUAAACCGCUUUCAGCAGGGAUGACAUCGACAGUACCUGCAGAAGAAGCCCCGGCUAACUACGUGCCAGCAGCCGCGGUAAUACGUAGGGGGCGAGCGUUAUCCGGAUUCAUUGGGCGUAAAGCGUGCGCAGGCGGGCGUGUAAGCGGGGCCUUUAAUAUUGGGGCUUAACCUCACGUCGGGUUCCGAA